AGGACGAACGCUGGCGGCGUGCUUAACACAUGCAAGUCGAGCGGUAAGGCCCUUUCGGGGGUACACGAGCGGCGAACGGGUGAGUAACACGUGGGUGACCUGCCCUUAGCUCUGGGAUAAGCCUGGGAAACUGGGUCUAAUACCGGAUAUGACCUCGCGAUGCAUGUCGUGGGGUGGAAAGCCUUGUGCGGCUAGGGAUGGGCCCGCGGCCUAUCAGCUUGUUGGUGGGGUGAUGGCCUACCAAGGCGACGACGGGUAGCCGGCCUGAGAGGGCGACCGGCCACACUGGGACUGAGACACGGCCCAGACUCCUACGGGAGGCAGCAGUGGGGAAUCUUGCGCAAUGGGCGAAAGCCUGACGCAGCGACGCCGCGUGAGGGAUGACGGCCUUCGGGUUGUAAACCUCUUUCAGCAGGGACGAAGCGAAAGUGACGGUACCUGCAGAAGAAGCGCCGGCUAACUACGUGCCAGCAGCCGCGGUAA
rnacentral:rRNA from 1 species